rnacentral:lncRNA from 1 species
GAACAAGCCAACUAAGUCGCAUAAAUAUGCUCCUAUCAAUGCCACGUGGUGUUUUGGUCAGCAGGAUCAAGAUCGUGCAAUCAAGCUCCAUAAAUGCGCCUUGGAAAUAGAGUACUUGGAUUCUGAGUAUUAGUUUCGCUUCUUCAAGGUCGGAGCUCAACCAGAGAAUUUAAGUCAAAGACCUCAGAAGCGAGGGCCAAUGUUUGGGCCCAAAAUAUUUAGUUUGGGCCGAGUACGGAAUCAUUCUCGGCCCGGAAGGAUUUAUUGUUAGGGGUCGUCUUGUUCAUGGGUCACUUAAUUAGAGUUAGUCGAGCCCAUUGGGAAAAUGAGUGGCCUAGAUAAGGAAGAGGCGUGGGAAAUUCUGCGUUUAACAGAAAUCCUGGUGUGAUAAGGAGUCCCGGUGAGAUGAGGAGGUCGAGACACAUUUUGAAUACAGCCUGAUAGAAAGAUUAGGUCCUAAAUCCUGAUGGGAGUAGGAGUACUCGAGAUGGUGUUUGAUUAGAAGAAGAAGUCCUAAUCUGAGUAGGGUUUAACUACUCGGAUUAACUCUACUUAGGAAGUAUCUGAUGCUAUAAAUAGAAGGGGCUGUGCAUUGUUCAAACCGCUCCAAUUCAACACACAACUGCCCUGCACAAACUCUCUUAACAACUUUGAGAUUUUUAUUUUCUCUUUUAAUUGACACAUCUUCCGUUGGCAUCAACAGCACUGUGAAAGCAAUCGGUGAUAUCUUCAGUCGGCAUAGAUAGCUCUGUCGCCAUAAAAUCAGCCGAUCUCGCAGCAUCUUCUGUUGGCAUCAACAGCUCUGCGGCAAGGAUGGUUGGUUACCUAUCCAAGUCUCGGUCGAGAAGGAUUUCUGAAUCCUUAUUGGUCGAGGUCAUGUCAUUAGCCUUCUCGACAAAGUGAGGUGUUACAGCUUACUGAGCUCGGCGCAUUGCAUGCCGAGUUAUAUUAUGAUUGGAUACUCUUAAGUGGGAUUUAGAGUUCGGCAUUCAGACGG